rnacentral:tRNA from 1 species
GGUUGUGGCUCAGUGGUAAAGUGCUUGCCUAGUAUGCACGAGACACUGGGUUCAAUUCUCAGUACCA